AAGAGAGUGAGAGUUACAGUGUGAGAACUGAGCUCAUUUGUCCAUCUCACUGGUCAGUUUUCUGCUGACAGCUCUGUUAUGCAGCGGAUACAUGCUGCUCUCCAGAGAGGAAACGUACACACACUAGCAAAGGAUGGACAGAGAAAUAUUGAUGUGUGUGUUGUGUGGAGGUGAACAGUGAGUCUCAGACUUUCCGGCCGUCCAGUAGGCCUCUUCCUUUGUGACCUCGAGGGAGGAGAGAAACAUCUGAGGUGUGAUGAGUGCCAACUGGGACGACUGGGAGGGUUCUGGAAGAAACGAAGCUUGGCACAAACUAAGAAAGCCUCUUCCUGUCUGCUGAAAAUCAGAAGGACUUUGGGGCUCGCUGCAGUCUUUGUCCUCUGUCUCCUGGGCGUUGGUGGUGACUUUAGACCUCAAUGACAUCUAAAUUUGCUAAUACAUAUACUUCCUAUAAAAUUCAUCUAAACUUUCAGUAAUUAAGUUGUAUUAAUUAAGGAACUCACUACAGUCUUUCUUUAGAUGCCAAUGCUCUUUCUACUCUGGUCAAAUAGUCACAAAAACCUUUUAAUUGCACCCAAUAAAGCAUGACUUUUUGAAAACUUUUGAUUGAAAUGUCUAGUUCAGAGGUUUGCACACUGAAAUGUCAACUGACCAAGGCAGCACUUCAAACACACUGCUUCCUUGUGUUGACAUCACAGAAAAGGGGAAAUAAAUGAGCCAAGAUAUCAACAAGAGAAUCGUGAAUGUCAUCAAGUCUGUUCCAUCCUACGGUAAUUCCCAGUUCCCUCAAGAAACCAUGUUCAUCUGUCCCAAUAAUUAUUUUGCAAAUAUUCAAAAUGUGAGUAUUUGCAGCCAUCUCACCAUUCAGGGUGGAGACAAGUUCUGCGCCCCAAAGACUGAUGUGUUU